GUCGUGUGUCGCGGAAUGCU
rnacentral:miRNA from 1 species